UACGAGAAACAGUACAACGGCUAAAAGCCAUGCACUAGAAGAAUCAAUUGGUACACACCCACCAUCUGCAUGUGACUCUACUGACUAGCUCAAACAUGUUCAAGACUUUAGAUUUACGCUGCAUGUUCCCUUGAUUAGGGUCUAACACUUCGAUUUCGGUUAAACCAUGAUAAAAGUCGAAACUGGUUAAUUCAAAUGGUUGAAUAGUUCAGAUUCAGUAUUCAGUUCAAAGAAGGCAAAGUUUCUUGUUUUCACUAGAAUCUAAGCAAUUGCAUAACUCCCCCUAGAAUGUGAUUUCACUAAGCAAUAUGGACGGGUACUCAUAGUUCAAGUCAGGCUCAUGAAAAAUAAAGUGAUGUUUGCACAAUUGAAAAAAAAAUUACAUAUGUAGCUACGUCAGAACAGGGUACUUUUUCGAUUUUUGUAACUAUAGAUGAUGCACCAAAAAAACUGAAACAUGCAGCAAUUCACAAAGAGAAGGGAAAUGAACGGGAACCCAGGGGACAAAAAUGAACAAGUGCGUACCUUGUCAGGGAAUCAUGGACCU
rnacentral:lncRNA from 1 species